rnacentral:misc_RNA from 1 species
GAUGAAGAACGUAGUGAAAUGCGAUAAGUAGUGUGAAUUGCAGAAUUCAGUGAAUCAUCGAAUCUUUGAACGCACAUUGCGCCCCUUGGUAUUCCAUGGGGCAUGCCUGUUCGAGCGUCAUUGCUGCCCUCAAGCACGGCUUGUGUGUUGGGCCUCCGUCCUCCUCCCGGGGGACGGGCCCGAAAGGCAGCGGCGGCACCGCGUCCGGUCCUCGAGCGUAUGGGGCUUCGUCACCCGCUCUUGUAGGCCCGGCCGGCGCUUGCCGACACAUCAAUCUUUUUUCCAGGUUGACCUCGGAUCAGGUAGGGAUACCCGCUGAACUUAAGCAUAUCAAUAAGCGGAGGA